rnacentral:rRNA from 1 species
CCUACGGGAGGCAGCAGUGGGGAAUCUUGCGCAAUGGGCGAAAGCCUGACGCAGCAACGCCGCGUGCGGGAUGAAGGCCUUCGGGUUGUAAACCGCUUUUAACAGGAACGAAAAUGACGGUACCUGUAGAAUAAGGUGCGGCCAACUACGUGCCAGCAGCCGCGGUGACACGUAGGCACCAAGCGUUGUCCGGAUUUAUUGGGCGUAAAGAGCUCGUAGGCGGUUCGAUAAGUCGGGUGUGAAAACUCUGGGCUUAACCCAGAGACGCCACUCGAUACUAUUGUGACUAGAGUUCGGUAGGGGAGCGGGGAAUUCCUAGUGUAGCGGUGAAAUGCGCAGAUAUUAGGAGGAACACCGGUGGCGAAGGCGCCGCUCUGGGCCGAAACUGACGCUGAGGAGCGAAAGCGUGGGUAGCAAACAGGAUUAGAUACCCUGGUAGUCCACGCCGUAAACGGUGGGCACUAGGUGUGGGCUCCAACCAACGGAGUCCGCGCCGUCGCUAACGCAUUAAGUGCCCCGCCUGGGGAGUACGGCCGCAAGGUUAAAACUCAAAGGAUAGAGCGNGNGAGAGCGACGACGACGACGAGGAGGAG